rnacentral:rRNA from 1 species
CCCUUAGAUGUCCUGGGCCGCACGCGCGCUACACUGACACACGCAACGAGUUUUGCUUGUCCGAAAGGUCUGGCUAAUCUUUUAAAUGUGUGUCGUGAUAGGGAUAGAUUAUUGCAAUUAUUAAUCUUGAACGAGGAAUUCCUAGUAAACGCAAGUCAUCAGCUUGCAUUGAUUACGUCCCUGCCCUUUGUACACACCGCCCGUCGCACCUACCGAUUGAAUGACUCGGUGAAAUCCCCGGACUGCAGCCUUGACACCCUCGGGUGACUCGGCAGUGGAAAGCGGAUUAAACCUCGCCAUUUAGAGGAAGGUGAANUCGUANCA